AGAGAUUGUAAUUUUGUGAAAAAAGCGUGAUCCGGCCCAGAGGAGAUUCCGAAGGUCUUGGAAAUCAGCGGCGAGCGCAACCUCAUCGACAACUUCUCCUACCACGUGUAAUAAUCACGAUCAAUGGCACCAUCUACACUUAACCAACAUAGGUCGGUUGCAGCCCUACAUCACGUCCCUACAAAGUUUCCUUUCGUGUUAUUUGAUGACGUUGAGAGCGAUGACUUACCAAAAUUUAAGAGUAUCGUAGCCAGAAUUGUUGUUAAGUUCCCUAGACGUCAUGACAGCCAACAUUUUAUUCUACAAGACAUCACUGGGUCAAAAAUAGAAGCAAUUUCAUACCGCCAUAAUGUCCAAAGAUUUGACACCUUACUCCAACAAGGAUCUACAUAUACAUUAUAUGGAGUGGCGUUCUAUGUAAGCUGGGGGCCGUAUCUAUUUCGGAAUUUUGGACAUAGGCUAGAAUUGACCUUGGCAACUCGGACUGUUGUGGAACCAUUCCACUUGCCAAUUCAGUUCCCGCCGUAUCCAAAACAUCUUAUGCCAUUUCAUGAGGUCCUCCAACAACCUCAUAAGAGGUUUAUAGAUGUAAUAGGAAUUGUCAUUCAUUUGGCGCCGUUAGAGCACAUCGGUGGAAGGCCGUACAGAGAGGCCAUACUAAUGGAUUCCAGGUGGGAUAUAAUCGUCGUGGGUAUAUGGCCUGAACUGUUGCAAAGAAAUGCUCUACGGUGGGUGUUAGCUAGAGACAAC
rnacentral:misc_RNA from 1 species